rnacentral:snRNA from 1 species
GUGUUUGCUUCAGCAGCACAUAUAUAUUAGAACAAUAGGGUUUUACAUGGCCCAUGCACAAGGCUGACAUACAACCUUGGGAAAUGAUCUAUAUUUUU